CUUGUUCAAAGUCAGGGCUUCCAUGUAAAACUGUGUUCAGUUCCUGACAGACUUGAGCUGUCCGGAAUGUUGCUGACGAGACGUGGUCCUCUCGUGCCCAGGUGCAGCCCCUGAAAGAUCAGGACCAGGAGCGUGGGCAGCAAGCCAGCGUGCUGGCCAACGUGGCCCAGGUGUUGGAGUGUGAGGAGGGCGUGUCUGACAGCGAGGGCGACGGGGUUACCCUCUUCAGCGCGCCCACUCUGCUGUCGCCCAGCGGGCAGGCCGAUGCCAAGACUCUGGCCAUGAGGAUUCAGGAGCAGCUGGACAAAAUCAACGAACAGAUCCGGUUUAUCCAAGAAAAGAGGGAGAACACGGAUCAGCGGGCCGAGGGGAUUGAGAGCAGGGUGGGCAGGGGGAGCUCCAGCCACCUUCGUCGUUCUCAAUCCUGGAACUCCCUCAACCUGAAUCCCGCCUCCUCGCAUGUUGGCUCCUGUACGCCCAGCAGAGGGCGCUCCAAGCCCCGAAGGAGGCGGCACAGCCCUGCGCAGGAACUGCCAGCUGUACAGGAAGAGGUAGAAGAUGAGAAGAGCACCAUCAAAGGUGAAACCUCGACCUCCGCCUUGCUGCGGUCUCUUCGGCUGGACCGGCUCAUGGCAUCACUGCGCACAGCCAGCGACAAGGACAUCAGGGACGCCCGCAACUCGACAGCCUCUCAGGAUGGCCCCGGGGGCAAGCUCAGCAACAGCAGUAGCGGCCAGGACUCGCUGCAGAAAGCCCCAAAGAAGAAGGGCAUCAAGUCCUCCAUCGGUCGUUUGCUUGGCAAAAAGGAAAAGGGCCGGCCUGGACACAGCGGCAAGGAGGCCUUAGGACCAGUGGCAGGCAGGAUCUUUACCGCUAGCGCCACCUGGAGAGCCCCAGGGAACGCUGACAACUAGGAAAUGCAGAAAAUAAGGGCUGCUCCUAAGUUAAACCGGAAGAGCAGCAAGCACAGGUUGAAAAGAGGAAAACACAGGAUGAGCGACAACAGGGCCAACAGAAACAAGCCAGGAUGUGUUCCCCCACAAAGAGAAUAUCUGUGCCAUUCGGAAGAGGAGCCCGUCAGCCCUCGGAGGGACAGAUGGAACCGGAAUGAAACCGAGGCCGUGGUCAGCAGUGCCCACCCACACGGCCCGAGUGGCGGGGUGUCACUCACUAGCUUCCUGCGUCCCCAGAGCUGCUGGGGGUGACGUCUGAGUGCUGAGGCCGGGCAACGUCCCCGAGUGAGCUAAGGCAUCCCUGCUCUCCUUCCAGUGCGGCUGCGGGGCCCUCUGUGGGCGGCCACCCUCAUCCCCUGAUCUGCCACCUGCUGGGGCCCAGCUGUUCCCCUGGGAUCCUUUCAGCCCUUGAGCUUGGGUGUUCCCAGCCCUCUGCCACGCCAGACUGGGACGCAACUCCAGACUUGGGCUUGAGAUAUCAAGGAGACCGUGAAUCUGGGAGGACACAGCUCUGGGGUCCUGACUGACCAUGUGAGAAGAGCAGGAGAGCAAAGCCCCAUCGGGGAGGAAGCAGAGCUGGGGAACGUGCCCACACCCACCGCUGCCUCUGGCACAAAAGCCUAUUCUUUGCUUCUUCUUGACCUGAAAUAGACCCCAGCUGCUGGUGAUCUGCAGGUGAUUGCUAAAGAUGCACAUCCUGCAAGAGCUAUUGUCCUGCUGCUCUGAGGCUGCCUAAGUGUGCUCAGGAGUGUCAGACAAGAGGGGCUGCCACGCCUGAUGCUGGGGGAGGGCCUGAUGCUGGGCUAGGGCCUGAUGGUGAACUAGGGUCUGAUGGGGUGGAAGGUCUGGUUCUGGACUAAGGCCCUUUGCUGGGGGAGGGUCUGAUGCUGGAGGACGGCCUGAUGCUCGGGGAGGGCCGUGAUGCUGGGGCGGGAAUGUCUGAUGUUGGACGAGGGUCUGAUGCUAGACGAGGGCCUAAUGCUGGAGGAGAGCCUGAUGCUGGAGGAGGGCCUGAUGGCGAACUAGGUCUGAUGGUUGGGGAAGGUCUUGUUCUGGACUAAGGCCCUUUGCUGGGGGAGAGUCUGAUGCUGGAGGUGGGCCUGAUGCUGGACUAGGGCCUGAUGCUGGAGGAGGGCCUGAUGCUGGGGGAGGGCCCUGAUGCUGGGGCAGGAAUUUCUGAUGCUGCACGAGGACCUGAUGCCGGACGAGUGCCUGAUGCUGGAUAAGGGCCUGAUGCUGGGAGAGGGUCUGAUGCUGGACUAGGGCCUGAUGCUGGUGGAAGGUCUGAUGCUGGACUAGGGCCUGAUGCUGGGGGAGGGCCUGAUGCUGGACUAGGGCCUGAUGCUGGAUGAGGGCCUAAUGCUGGACUAAGGCCUGAUGCUGAGGGAGGGCCUGAUGCUGGACUAAGGCCUGAUGCUGAGGGAGGGCCUGAUGCUGGAGGAGGGCCCUGAUCCUGGGGCAGGAAUGUAUGAUGCUGGGAGAGGCCUGAUGCUGGAGGAGGCCCUGAUGCUGUACUAGAGCCUGAUGCUGGGGGAGGGUGUGAUGCUGGGGGAGGGCCUGAUGCUGAACGAAGGCCUAAUGCUGGAGGAGGGCCUGAUGCUAGGGGAGGGCCUGAUGUUGGGGGAGGGCCUGAUGCUGGAUAAGGGCCUGAUGCUGGUGGAAGGUCUGAUGCUGGACUAGGGCCUGAUCUGGGGGAGGGUGUGAUGCUGGGGGAGGGCCUGAUGCUGGAUGAGGGCCUAAUGCUGGAGGAGGGCCUGAUGCUGGGGGAGGGCCUGAUGCUGCAGGAGGGCCCUGAUGCUGGGGUGUGAAUGUCUGAUGCUGGACUAGGGCCUGAUGCUGGAGGAGAGCCUGAUGCUGGAAGAGGGCCUGAUGCUGGACUAAGGCCUGAUGCUGGGGGAGGGUCUGAUGCUGGAGGAGGGCCCUCAUCCUGGGGCAGGAAUGUAUGAUGCUGGGAGAGGCCUGAUGCUGGAGGAGGGCCUGAUGCUGGAGGAGGGCCCUGAUCCUGGGGCAGGAAUGUAUGAUGCUGGGCUAGGGCUUGAUGCUGGAGGAGGGCCUGAUGCUAGACUGGGGCCUGAUGCUGGGAGAGGCUUUGAUGCUGGGGGAGGGCCUGAUGCUGGACUAAGGCCUGAUGCUGGGGAGGAUGUGAUGCUGGAGGAGGUCCUGAUGCUGGGGGAGGGUCUGAUGCUGGAGGAUGGCCGAUGCUAGGGGAGGGCCUGAUGCUGCGGGAGGGCCCUGAUGCUGGGGUGGGAACAUCUGAUGCUGGACUAGGGUCUGAUGCUGGGGGAGGUCCUGAUGCUCGACUAGGGCCUGAUGCUGGGGGUUAAACGUCUGAUGCUGGCGGGGAGGUCUGAUGAUGGUGGGCAGCCUGCUCCCAGAUGUACACAGAGUUGUGAUUAUAAAUAUGAGGAAUCUUUUUUUCAUACUUUCCUGACCACCUUGCUAUGUUCCUUUUUUCUGAAGUAUAAUUGCUGUGCAAUAUCGGUUUGAUUUCCGCCAUACAUCAGCAUGGAUUAGCCAUAGGUGUACGCGUGUCCCCUCCCUCUUGAAUCUCCCUCCCGCCUCCCCCUGCUACAUUCUUGUUUCUAUGGAUAUAUGAAUAAUAAAGACUGUUGACUAAAGUAAUAUAAAAAGCUCCCACACACAAGCGUGCACACGCACACUCCGUAGUACAUCAUUGGGGUCCGCGUCAGGGUUGCCCUGGGCCACCCCGCCCUGGGAUCCACGGUGAGCCUCGACACCUGCACUUAGUGCCCACCCUCGGCCCGCUGCCCACGCCUCAGCAGCAGAGGGGCCCUGUCCUCUCCGGAGCCAAGGACAUGAAUACCAGGUCGGUCGUCCUUUGGGGACCCCUAUACUUCCGCCUUCUAGCCUUUGCAUUGUAUCCAUCCGUUUCUCUUAACAGAAUGUCCGUGUGAUGACACGGGCUCCCAUUACCAGCUCUGGUCUGUUCUCAUUGAGAGUACAGCUUACCCUCUGCACUCUUUAUUGGCAGUGGAAAUUUGGCUUCAGUACUUUUUUGAAAGAAAGAAGUAAAUAAUACUGUGAUAAAAACAGUUCAAAAGUAGACUGUACAUACUUUGUCACAUAUUCGGGAAGUUCACAACAGAUUAAUAGAAACACAGAAUGGUAACAAUGAAUUGUACAAGGAAAUUAAAGGCAGAACGCACAUGUAAAGAGACAUGCCGUCUCUGUCUACCAAGAUAUCAGCUGCAUAAUAAGGCACCAUGAUUUGAACGCAUCUCUUGCUGGCUUUUUUAAUGUGCUACUGAAAAAGUAAAAGUUACAUUUGCUACUUAUACUAUCCAAAAUGGCUAUGUCAUCAAAAUCUAAAAAUGUAUGCCUAGGUCCAUUCUUUAAACACGUUUACAAACAGAUGUAAAAAGAUGAUUUACAUCAGAAAAAUAAGGCCUUUGUCAGAGCUGCACUAUUCUGUCUGUCUGUCUGUCUCUCCCGGGUGUGGCGCCCUCACUGUCCAACUCAAUGGCUCCGCAGCGGGUGCAGGGCAUCAGGAUUGGUCCUCGAAGAGUCUCACCGGAGAGGAGGGAUCUGGGUCCAGAGACUAGGUUACAGAAGAGAUUUUCAUAGUCGUCUUCUAGUUAUCCUUUCAGCCCAAAUUUCAUCAGAAGCUCACAUUUAACACCCAGUGCUUUUAAAUCACUUCAUGCUUUAGACAAAAAGCAUUUCCUCCUAGAAAAAAAGUACAGUUUAGGUCAUCGUUAAAUUACAACAAUUGGUUGAAAUUAGUUCGCUCAUUUCAGAGUGACUGUUGGAGAGCUUGAUUACAUUCUGGAAGGAUAAUGCACACCGUGUCAUGAUGAUUUUACAAUCGCAGUAAAACCCCUUCUCUUAUGGUUUAACAUUUAAAAAUUACACAAGAAUAAUUACAAUCAAUGCAUCAUUUGCAAAAGCCCUUUAUUUGUUCAUAGGAUUUAUACAGACAAGUAUUACA
rnacentral:lncRNA from 1 species